UAAUCUUGAUAGACAAACAAAUGCUUUUGUAGGUUUGCAUGUUUUUGAGUUCCCUAAAUGCUUUAAAUCAAACGUAUAAUUUUAGAGGUAAAAAGUAGAGGAAAUUGUAUGAUUAUUACAGAUAUUGCAUGUAGAGUUUGAGUUUCUUCUGGAGAAUUAUUCUGCUAUUCAAGGGCUUUUCAGGAAAAGCAGAUCAUUACACUAUCCCAGCUGACUCGGGCGAAGUCAGGGGACACCCUAGACAGGUCGCCAGUCUGUCGCAGGGCCACAUACAGAGACUCACAUUCACACCUACAGGCAAUUUAGAACGACUAAUUAACCUCAGCAUAUUUUUGGACUGUGGGAGGAAGCUGGAGUACCCGGAGAGAACCCACACAUGCACAGGGAGAACAUGCAAACUCCAUGCAGAAAGAUCCCAGGCAAGCGAACCAGGGAUCUUCUCACUGCAAGGCGAAAGUGCUAACCACUACACCACUGUGCAGCCCUGAAAUACAGGGCGUUUUUCCUUUUCAUGAUCUAAAAGGGAUAUACGAUUUUUUUUUAAAUGCUUUGAUUUUCGUUUUAUAUUUAGAAUAACAAGAAAGUAAAAUCAGUAACAGACAGAAACGAAAAAAGGUCAGUUUUUUUCAUUUUGUGAGACCGGAAGUGGUCAUCAGCAAGUGUGGAUUCAAACAGAGUACGGUGCAUAGACUGUACAUACAUUUUUUUUUUCGUGAGUUUUCAUGGUCAAAAUGAGAGAUCAGGUGGCCGAUCUUAAAAUAAAUCAAGAUUGAUUUUUUUUUAUAGAGCGUUAAAGUUUUGCGAAGCGAGGGGGCGGGGCUACUUGACUGACAGUCCGGUCUGGAAUGAUUGACAGGUCCUAUGGAGGAGGCAGCAGAGACUCUGCUCUCCUCGUUUGGAUUAAUUCUGAUAUAAUAACUGUUGGUUUAUUUAUCGGUGGAGCAGCACAACAUUUUCCACAGACAGUUUUCCUGCCCAUUGGCUUGUUUUAACCAGUUUUCUACCUUGGGCUGAUUCUACCAGCAGACACUGAAAGGACUCUGAUAGUUCAGUAAUUAAAGCCGCGCUUCCACAAGCACCUACUCGGCGCGGUGCGGCUCGGCUCGUCUUUGUUUGCGAGCGUUUCCAUAUGGGUUAGUGCAUGGUAUCAGGCACUAUUUUCCAUCCCUUCUCGGCUGAGGUUCCAAGCAAGAUGAAUUGAGCCGAGAUGUGACGUCUACAUAGUGCAGGCCAUUGAUUGGACAGGAGUGCAGCCCACUGAUUGGACAGGGAUUGACGACACAGGAGAGCGACUCCAGCACGAAAACAAAACCGGCAUUUAAAAAAAAAAACUAAACAGCGAGGGUGUACAUUGCUCUUCACGGAGCUCUCUGUUCUUCAUAAUUUUAAUAUGACAGCCAGACCUGUACUGUGGGUGAAUGAAGAGGUCGAGACUUUUCUGUCUUUGGUGGUGGACCAAAGAAUACAGAGGGAGCUGGACAUAGAAAGUUUAUCAGGAGGUCUCAGAGCGGAUGGCUGCUCACAUAUACAGUAGACUGUAUAUAAAGAGGACAAUGAAGCAGUGUAGGGAGAAGCUGAAAAAGCUCAAAAAUGACUAUUGGUCCACCAAGGACCACAGCGGUCGGCGUGGGUCAACCAGGAGGUGUUGGAAGAGGUUUAAUGGAAGCUAUUUACUGGCACCGCACCGACGAGCAACAGGAGGGAGACUCAGCUGCUGCAUUAUUGGAGACGUUUGAGAACGAAUCCCUUUCGACAUGCAAAGCCUGCUCCACCUCCGUCGCGGAGCCCCCAGCUCCCCUGCCUCCUCUCCACCACCAGUACCAACUCGGACACCGACCCUGUCAGCAUCAACCUCCAGCACGUAACAGCAACGUCUUAUCACUGGCAAUAGGAAAAGAGGCCACAGAAAAUUGGACCUUCCAAGCGUACUUGUGGAGAUGCAGGCUGAGGAGGAGUGGAAUCAUGCCCAGCAUGAUGAGAACAUCUGGUUGCUCCUCAGCGAAGCAAGAGAGAAUGAAGGGGCCUUGCAGCGGAGGAGAUGGCCCAGAAUACUGCCUUCAACCAGUCAUUCCUGGGUGUACUGGGGCAGCUGGUGCAGGCAGUGGGCAGCCAGCGAGUCCACCUCCCAGAGACUUGAGAUUUAGUUGUAUAUAGUUUUACUUUUAGUCCUCCACUGUAGGAGAGGCCCACCACAGUUUGUACUUUGCACAUUGUAAAUAGUUUUGAUUUUGCUGCUGACUAAUAAACUAUUUUGUGACUUAUGUAAUUGCAUCAUAACUUUUCAUUUUGUCUGUUAAGACACUGGUAGGAAAAGAGUCAACAGUCUAAACCAAACAAUUCUGUAUUCCCUAAUAAUGCAUUUAUGUUUAAUGGGAUUUAAUAUGUUUUAACACAAACUUCUUUAUGGUUCAUAAUUCCGUUGACUGAAUUACACCAAAGCAAUACUGAUUUAUCAAACUGGAAUAUUCUUAAAACAGCUGU
ensembl:lncRNA